CCACCUUCACGGAAGAUGCGCUGCUGACGACGUUCAAGAAUGGGCUGUUCACCAAGGAUUUCGACCUCAUCGUGGGGCCCUUCGACGACCCUUGCGAGAUUCGCGAGGACAAGGACGUCUGCGAGGCGGAGAGGGCGGAGUUCAUCGAGACGAAGAAGCGCGCGAACGCAUGGGCGACCGCGAACGAGCAGAACGCCCUCCAAAAGCUGAUGAAGAGGAAGAGCCACAG
rnacentral:lncRNA from 1 species